AGAGAGACACACAGAGAGAGAGAGAGAGAUUUGAUGAGGACAGACGCUCGCUCACACGCUCCUGUUCAGAGAAAGGUUAUCUUCCGGCCGGCAGCAUGUUGCAUCCGCUCCUGAUCUUCAUGGUCGUCAUCAACAUUUCCAUGAGCAUCAUCUUCUGGACCUUCUUGAUGUCGGAGGUCUUCUUCAAAGAGGCAGAGACAGAGGAAGUGUCUCCGGCGUAGAGUCAUGUAGAUCUUCAUAGAGAGUCUCUUCUGCAGCUACAGAACGCUUUCCCUGCAUUAUUAAGUUUCCUGUCAGCCUUCUUUUUUUCUUUUGUCCUGUUUGUUCUGUAACAAAAGCACCGUUUGAGAAUUUGUUUUUGUCGUCUCUCCUCAGAUUGGGUCUUUGGCCCUAAAACUGAAGCUGGUGAUGCUGAGCGUGGUGAUGAAGAGGAGAGGGUUCAGAUGGAGGAAGAGCGAGCCGGUCUGCUGCCCGGAUUCAUCAUCACCGAACACACUCACCUUCAUUACAUCACUUCACUAUGAGUCUACAUACAGUCUGUGCCAGCUGUCACUAUUCUGGCUCAAGUCUGUCACUUCGUUUUUAACGUGUUUUUAACACACCAGAUGCUCUUUUAGCUGCUGUAGAACAGCGAAGCAUAGAUAGCAGUCUUUCAGUAUGGAAAGAGGACGUGGUCAUGUGAUCGCUGUGAUGUCAUCAUUGUAACUGCUGCUUCUGUGAUGCCAUGAAAAUGAAUUCUGGCACUGUAUAUAUACAUAUAACAGAAGGCAUAAAGGAUGCGAGUGAGAUACAGAAUUAAAGCCUCUCCUCAUUAGGAACCAAAA